GUCAAAAGGGGGAGUAGGACAUUUUCUGUCUGACGCUUUCCUCGGUCAGUUGUAUAUUCCCUUUCUGCAUACUUGAUAAAAGGGUUUGAAAAAUUGUCAAAGCCAGAGCUGGAGUCAGUGUUCCUGCGUGAGACAUUUCUCUGUACAUGGGAAGCCAGUGUUGCUGUGUCCGGAAUUGUGUAGGUAUUUGGGCUGGGCUGCACUGGUGGCUCAGCAUUGUCAGACCUUUGUCUGUAUCAACCGCCAGGUCCUGGAGGUGUCGCAUUCUCAGAUGGUGUGACUGAUCUGGAACGAAGCUGAUCACUCAGUGCUUGG
rnacentral:lncRNA from 1 species